CGCGUAGGCGGCCUGGUAAGUCAGAUGUGAAAGCCCGGGGCUUAACCCCGGAAGUGCAUUUGAUACUGUCAGGCCUGAGUAUGGGAGAGGGAAGUGGAAUUCCUGGUGUAGAGGUGAAAUUCGUAGAUAUCAGGAGGAACACCGGUGGCGAAGGCGACUUCCUGGACCAAUACUGACGCUGAGGCGCGAAGGCGUGGGGAGCAAACAGGAUUAGAUACCCUGGUAGUCC
rnacentral:rRNA from 1 species